rnacentral:tRNA from 1 species
UAGAGAGUGGUGUAGUGGGAGCACUUAGAGUUUUGAGCUCUAAAGUAGGGGUUCGAGCCCCCUUUCUCUAA